rnacentral:rRNA from 1 species
AAUUGCAGCAUUACUACCUGGUCAGCUUGUCAGAUCUCAGAAGCUAAGAAAGGUUAAGCCCAGGCGAUACUGGGAUGGGAGACCUCUUAGGAAAAGCAGGAUGCUGCAGUAG